rnacentral:rRNA from 1 species
AUUGAACGCUGGCGGCAUGCCUUACACAUGCAAGUCGAACGGCAGCACGGGUGCUUGCACCUGGUGGCGAGUGGCGAACGGGUGAGUAAUACAUCGGAACAUGUCCUGUAGUGGGGGAUAGCCCGGCGAAAGCCGGAUUAAUACCGCAUACGAUCUACGGAUGAAAUCGGGGGACCUUCGGGCCUCGCGCUUUUGGGUUUGCCGAUGUCUGAUUAGCUAGUUGGUGGGGUAAAGGCCUACCAAGGCGACGAUCAGUAGCUGGUCUGAGAGGACGACCAGCCACACUGGGACUGAGACACGGCCCAGACUACUACGGGAGGCAGCAGUGGGGAAUGUUGGACAAUGGGCGAAAGCAUGAUCCAGCAAUGCCGCGUGUGUGAAGAAGGCCUUCGGGUUGUAAAGCACUUUUGUCCGGAAAGAAAUCAUUGGCCCUAAUACGGUCGGGGGAUGACGGUACCGGAAGAAUAAGCACCGGCUAACUACGUG